rnacentral:rRNA from 1 species
GGGAUCGCCCUUCCUACGGGAGGCAGCAGUAAGGAAUAUUGGUCAAUGGGGGCAACCCUGAGCCAGCCAUGCCGCGUGCAGGAAGACGGCCCUACGGGUUGUAAACUGCUUUUAGACGGGAAUAAACCCCUCUACGUGUAGAGAGUUGAAUGUACUGUAAGAAUAAGGAUCGGCUAACUCCGUGCCAGCAGCCGCGGUAAUAAGGGCGAUCC